AUUGAACGCUGGCGGCAUGCUUUACACAUGCAAGUCGGACGGCAGCACAGAGAAGCUUGCUUCUUGGGUGGCGAGUGGCGAACGGGUGAGUAAUAUAUCGGAACGUACCGAGUAAUGGGGGAUAACUAAUCGAAAGAUUAGCUAAUACCGCAUAUUCUCUGAGGAGGAAAGCAGGGGACCUUCGGGCCUUGCGUUAUUCGAGCGGCCGAUAUCUGAUUAGCUAGUUGGUGGGGUAAAGGCCUACCAAGGCGACGAUCAGUAGCGGGUCUGAGAGGAUGAUCAGCCACACUGGGACUGAGACACGGCCCAGACUCCUACGGGAGGCAGCAGUGGGGAAUUUUGGACAAUGGGCGCAAGCCUGAUCCAGCCAUGCCGCGUGUCUGAAGAAGGCCUUCGGGUUGUAAAGGACUUUUGUCAGGGAAGAAAAGGCUGUUGCUAAUAUCGACAGCUGAUGACGGUACCUGAAGAAUAAGCACCGGCUAACUACGUG
rnacentral:rRNA from 1 species